UACAGAGGUCUCAAGCGUUGUUCGGAUUCAUUGGGCGUAAAGGGUGCGUAGGUGGCGUCGUAAGUGGGGUGUGAAAUCCCGGGGCUUAACCCCGGGACUGCAUUCCAUACUGCGGUGCUUGAGGACUGGAGAGGAGACUGGAAUUUACGGUGUAGCAGUGAAAUGCGUAGAGAUCGUAAGGAAGACCAGUGGCGAAGGCGGGUCUCUGGACAGUUCCUGACACUGAGGCACGAAGGCCAGGGGAGCAAACAGG
rnacentral:rRNA from 1 species